AAAUAGCUUUUAUAAUAAUUUUUUUUAAAAUAUAAAUAUAAAAGAGAUUUAAAUUAAUUUAUAAUUUUAUUACCUUUUGUAUAAGUGUUUUAUGAAAAAAUAUAUAAUUAUAUUUUCUCGAUAUUAAUAGAUUAAAUAUCUUUCUUAUUUUCCGUUGCAUAGGGAAAUAAUAUAAAAGUUAUUAGGAAUGAAAAAUUUUCAAUAUUAAUAAUAUCUAGAUUCUAUUAAAAAGUAUUUAGUACUUUAUACAAUUAUAAGGUUUUUAAAUCUUAUAAAAACUGAAUUUUAUAUUAUAUUUUUUUUAAUUGAAAUAAUUUUCAUUAAAAAAUCUUAUAAAAAUAUUAAGAAAUUUUAAUAAUCUUUUUAUUUAACGGAAAUAAUUUAAAAUUUUUUUAAAAUUAUUUUUUAUGUAAAAAUUAGUAAUGUUAGAAAAUAUUUUUUAGGAAUUCGGCAAAGAGUUUUUUCAACUGUUUAUCAAAAACAUAGUUUAGUGAAAAAUUAUACUAAAUGAAUUCUGCCCAGUGUUUUAAUAAAUGGCCGCAGUACCCUGACUGUGCUAAGGUAGCAUAAUCAAUUGGCUUUUAAUUGAAGUCUGGAAUGAAUGAAAUAAUGGAGGAAUGCUGUCUUAAAAGUAUUAAUUUAAAUUUAUUUAAAAGGUGAAAAUACCUUUUUUUAAAAAAAAGACGAGAAGACCCUAAGAAUUUUUAGAUUAAUUUUUGAAAAUUAAUCUUUUUGUUGGGGCGACAGAUUAGAAAACUAAACCUAAUUUUUUAAAUUGGCGAAUUUUUUAAGUAAUAAAAAAUUACCUUAGGGAUAACAGCAUAAUGUAAAAUUUUUUAUGUUUGUGACCUCGAUGUUGGACUAGGAACUUUAUGGCUAGCAGUCAGAAAAGAUUUAUUCUGUUCGAAUAAUUUAAUCCUACAUGAUCUGAGUUCAGACCGGCGUGAGCCAGGUCAGUUUCUAUCUUUUAAAAUUUUAAUUACAGUACGAAAGGACCUAAUUAAUUUU
rnacentral:rRNA from 1 species